ACGACUGCUAAUCCAAACGCUAUCAAAGCUUGGUACUCCGUAUACAGUGCAACUUGCUCUGAUGUUCAGUCUACUGCAUGAUACACGAGUGUUAAUCAAUCAAAAUUAUCCAUCAGAAAUAGUUUUAUUGUGAUUAGUAAUAUCCGUUUUUUUUUUUUCUAAUGCAUCAUUGAAAUGGACGAGGAGUUUCCUUACAUUGAAGACGUAUAAAUUAAAUCUGAUUUUUUAUUUACUAUUUACAUGUUGUUAGUCCCAGUUUCUCCUCUCCGAUGAAAAUUAAGGGCCGCUUGGUCCAUUCCAACAAGCCA
rnacentral:lncRNA from 1 species